rnacentral:lncRNA from 1 species
AUGACUUCGCUUCGCUGCCUUAUCGUCGUAGGCCUUUUCGGCCUGGCCCCAGUUUUGUGCGCCCAUAAGAAAAAUGGGGACGGAUUGACCUGUUCAGAACGAUGUCAGAAUAAAUAUGGGUACAUCGACGGUGAGGGAGGCGCUCGCAUUUUCAUCACGAUCGGGGCCAUCAAUGAUAACGGAGGCCGAGAGUUAUGCGAGUGCCGAGUCAGUGACGCCCUGCAGUUUCUAGUGGAAUCCAGAAAGCUUGAAGAGGUCCGAUACAAAUGGCUUUUAGCACAAACCCCGAGAAACGUCGUCUCAUGGCUGAAGACGCGUUUGGGCGUACAAGUCCAUUCCCCCGGUGCUGAAGAGCAGAACAAAUCCCCAAACACAGGCCCAGUCUCGAGCGGAAACGAGAAAAAUCCGGAACAUGUGCUCAGUGAAGAAAAGUGCCAAGACAAGUGCCGCAAGGAGGCCGGGUAUCGCUUCGUCGAGACGAAAGAUAAGGUGGUUCGGGCAUGGAUCACAGAGGGGUAUUAUAAUCAUACACUAACCGGGCCGAAACAAUGCGAGUGCAAGAGCAGCGCGGUUCUUAUGAAUUACCUGCAUCAAAAGGGAAUCAACACGCAUGAAUUCGAAUUACUCCGCGUAAAGAGAAAGUGGGAGAAAAUAAACAAAUGGCUGAAGAAGCAAGACCUAUCUUUAAUAGUCUUUGGAAAGGAAAGGACUGGUGGUGAUCCAGUUGAGAACGAAACGAGCUGUACAGAAAAAUGUCGGAAAUUGCAUGGAUACAUAGAUGAAGAGACACGAGGUUCCAUCAUUUUCCUCAUGAUCGGGGUCCUCAAUAAUAACAAAUUUAUUAUGGUACACGGAGAGAAACAAAGAGACCUAGUGGAUUGCGAGUGCCGAAUCAAUCCAAUCCUUAAGGAACUACUAAUAUCCAAGAGGCUAAACUUCACGGAAUUCAAAGAGAAGAACGACGAGUAUGAAGCCGACAAAUGGCUUCUCGAACAUAUGGGCAAACAAGUCCACUUCCUGGAGCCGAAAAAAUCCUCAAAAGGACUCUUCGGGAUCAAGCUUAAGGUGACCAAGGAGGAGUGUGAGGAGCAGUGCUUUGAAAAAGAGGGCUACGUCGAAUUAGGACCACGGCUUCAUUUAAAGGUCGCAAAGGGUCAUGUGGUGGUCUCAUGCAUGCGGUCGAAAUGCGAGUGCAAAAUCAACGAGGGGUUGAUUGCAUAUUUGGAUAAGAACAAUCGCGAUCCUCAACGCUUCCGGUUUGCGUACGAACAAGGGGACGCAGAAAAAUGGUUGCGUAAUCACAACAUUAAUAUUAAGUUCCCUGUUUCGAGUCGAAAUCGUAAAAAACAACCAACAUUUCCUUUUAAACAGAGGCAACAACAUCCUCCACCUCCGGCUGAACAGGAGCACGAAAGUGAGCAAUGCCGUCUAUCACCUUCAACUGAACCUUUAAGCCAUGAGGAGUGUACACUUAGAUGUCAGAAUUCUUAUGGGUACAUCACCGGAGGCGGCUCGGGCUCCAAAAUAUACGUCUCGACUGGGAUAAUCGUGACAAAAGACACAGUGAAUAAAAAGGGGAAAAAAACAGUGUGCGACUGCCGACCAAACAAAGAACUGGAACCGAUAUUAAAAAAAAAAGUUCACGAAACAUUCAAGGCGGCAUGGAUGAACAACGUCCAAGAUGUUGUAGAAGUGUUGCAUAAACACAAGGUCGAAGUCCAUUACAAGCAAAGUGAGUCCGAGGAAGCAAGAAAAGUUCCCAAAGACAAGAACCACUAAAAGCAACACCAAAAUGAAAGGUUAUGGAGCCAAUAUCAGUGGGGAAAUCAUCAAAUAUGUUGCCGGUUAAAUCCUGCAUGGUAAAUAAAUUCGAAAAGCCUGCAAUUCGUAUGACAAACAGACUUAAUUUACUGGAAUUCAUACACACCCCCCCCCCCUCUCUCCAAACAUAUAGAGAAAUAAUGGGCCACUUAACUUUGGGUGUUUAACUUAAUAUUCUGAAAGUACCAUAAUAGUAGAUUACGUGGUGAUUUUUUCCGUGUUUUUAGGAAUAAAAUCCCGGACAGGGCCGCUUCUUAGAAGUCCAAAGACUUGAAGGAAUUUAAUACGCGCCGGAAUGGCGGGAAAAUGAUGGCAGUGAUGUACUGCGCCGGUCAAAUCGCCAUCUCCUCUAUUUUUCCACUCAUGCUUGUUAAAAUGAAUCGUCUUUUCAAAGAAUUGUUGUUUGUUUACGACAGAUAACGCGAAUGAAACUUGAUUCUUUGGUUCUGCAGAUAUCGUUCCGAUUUUCCUAUUUUUUCCAUAAAUGAGGAGUACACAGACAUUUGACGAGGGCCGUUGAAACCUGCGCUCGCUUUUGAUUGGUGCCGGAUGACAUCAUUCGGUUCAGCGCAAAACCGGGGCGUUAUAAAUUUAUGAAAAAGUUGCGCUUUUUGAACUACGCUUUCUCAGUUUUCGCGUUUUGAAUGUGCGCAUCGUAUUCUACGCUUCAUUUGCCUUUGGAAAAAUGUAUUCGCAAGUCAAAAUUCGUUCAUGGUUUAGUGGCCCAUAGUUCUAGUGCGCUGAAGAAAUACUCCAUAUAUAUAUUCAGACGUUGACAAAAUCCUCCUGAUUGAAUAAAAUAUUUUCCGCAAACGUGUGUCUUUUUUUUCAUCAAUUUAAGUAUUCAUUGUAUCUAAAAAUUUCAAGGAAAAAUAUUCAUAACUUUUUUCGAGACUGAUCAUUCUAAGGAAAAAAAUGGGCAACAUUCUCAUUUUCAGACUCUAUUUUUCGAUAGCAGGACAGAGUUUUGAGGCGUACGAUUUAUAGUGCAGGGACAAAAAAGAAAAGAAAAAAACCGGAAUUGUGAGCAUUGCGAUUUAAAUUAAUAUAUAUUUUCAUUUUAUUUCAUUUUUUAGUUUCAAAUUUACAUGGACUGGUUUCUUUCGCUAGUACUGAGUCCGAUCACUUACAUACGAUACGUCCACAUAGGACUUGCUCUUUUAAAACUCAUUGCAUGAGGGUCAUUUGAAGUAUAUUUAGAUCACAUCGCAGCACCAAAUGACUUUUACGACCUUAAAAAAACUUACGAGUUAGGUCAACUUACAACUUACGUCACUUAGAAAGUUCGAGAGAUUCCAUUGAUGAUAAUUUUUUUUUUUUUUUUUUUUUUUAAAUUGAAAGUUUCAUACCAUACCGUGCCAAGUCAUGCCGAUACUCAUGAAAAUUUAACGGAAAAAUGAAUUUUUCUGCAUUGGAAUUCUCUCAUACCUAAUCCACUGUUUUCUCUAACACUUUUGGACAUAUUUUCUGACUUCCUCGUGUUAUUUUUUUGCCCAGUGUUGUCACCGUCAGAUAGAGGAGGCUCAUGUAAACUCUAAAUUUUCUCCGUGUAAUCAAAAUAUAAAAGAAUAAAAUAAUAAAAAAAUAAGGAAAUUAAAAAAAAUCAAGGGUGCAGGAAAUACAACAAUGCGUAAUCCUGGAUCCCUGGUUAUGGUGGAGGCGAAGUUGGUUUUAAAAGUUAUUUUAGUAGAGCCUGUUUUUUUCAUGAUUUAUUCUUCCCUAGAGAAACUGUUCAACAUAAUCACGUUUUUAUGUCAAAUUCCAGUUCUCGUUCAAAUAUUUUUGCUCAAUGCUUUUUGUGUGCGAAGAACCCAUUCACCGUAUGACACGAACCCUAUGUUAAUGUUAAGGGCAGAUCCCGAUUUUGGACAGAUCGCAAUCGGCCCGGGCGAAUCGCGAUCAGUCAAGCUAAAAUGGGCAGAUCGGGAACUGCCCGGGCAGAUCGCGAUUCGCCCGGGCCGAUUGCGAUCUGUCCAGGCAAAAUUGGGCAGAUUUGAUUUUGUGCUUGGCAGCAGUGGAAAAAUGACCGGCGGCCUCCAAGAGAUGCAUGCCGGCCUGCGUUGUCUGAUAACGAUAGCAGUGGAAAAGAUCUGCCCGCGGCUGCCAAAUGAAGGUACUGAUAACAGUCAAUAUUAGGAACUGUUGGUGAACUGAAAAUGUUGAAACUUAGCAACGCCAAGUUCAAAUCCCUUCAAGUAGGCUGUAAUUUUACGCAGUACAGUAUCCUGUCGUGGAUCGAGCCAAGGGCGACGCUCGAAAUGCAGUCGCGGUGAUUUUGGAGGUGACAAUGACAACAUGUAUAGGCUCGGCGCAGAAAAAGGAAAGCUCUCCGCGCUUUACGCGCGUAAUCCAGUCCGCGAGUGCAAACAGAAAUUCUUAACUCCGGCAGAUGUUCCCACAACUGCAGAAAUAAGUCUGCAAACCCUGAGUCGUAACAACUCACAUUUUGACGGACAGGGAUUCAAAAAAUGCAACCCUUGCGCCUGCAAAAAAAUGGCGUUCUCUGUAACUCCAAGUGCCAUAGCUCUUUGACCUACUGCAACAAGUAAAUACAGGUAAAAAAAGUGCCGUUUUCUUCAUUAGUUUCAGUCCAUGUGAAAUAAUUGAAUCUGCCCUUAUGAGAUCUGCUCGUAUGAAAAGUGGGCCGAUCCCGAUCUGCCCAAUUUUUCUGGGCACAUCGGGAUCUGCCCAGAAAUCGGGAUGCCCGUAACAUAUACAUUGCUUAAUGAUAUAAUAUCACGUCAGAACAUCUGAUAUUCUAGCUCUAGAUUAGUUGUCUAUCACUGGCAUGGCGAUUCAUUCCGUGCUGUACUGUCGACAGGUACUGAUGUUGCCACAUCUUAAAUAGUAAUUACAUCAUUUCCUAGUGAUAAUAAAUAAACAAGAAGAAACAUCCAACAUGAAUAUGUUGGAAAAGCGUGCCGAAUAAUUGAAAUCUAGUGUGUGCACUAUUUCCAUUUCAACGAGAUGUGUAUAAAUUAGUACUCUCUGCAAAUUGGGGAGGAAUUAUUGAUUUGAUACCGUUGAAUGUAAAUACAUUUUAUUGAAAAUACAUUUUAUUGAAUAAAGAAAGUAACAUAAUUAUAUUGGAUGAACAAAGAAAAUAACAUCAUAAAUCAUUUAACUGAAUUAGUUCAUUCAGAAUUUCAAAUUAAAGUUUGGAAAUUGUUCAGUUUGUUGCGUCAUGUUGGAGAUUGCUCAGUUUGCAGCAGCAGAGUAUGGAGUUUACUCUGUUUAAUGAGUCAAACUUUGUCUUUUCUCUUUUCUUCGAUUGAUUUGUAUUAAAAUGAGACUUUAAGGUAUCUUUUCUGGAAAUAAAAAAAAAAAAACGUGACAAAAAAAAAAAAAAAAAAAAAAAAAAAAAAUGCAACUUACACUCAGAGAAUCAACAAGGGAACCUAACCUCCAAAACUCUGCCUUCCAAUUGGUCGAAUUGGAGAUUGCUCACUUCGCUGCAGUUGUAACUAUGGAGAUGCAGCCAACUUGGGUUAACCGCUUUUGAAAAGACGCUGAUUCGCUAAAUAGUUAUGGCGGCAUUUAAACUUCUAAUUUAAAUCCUCCGAGCGUAGAAAAGCUUAUUUGACGUACCUAUGAAAGAAAAUAAUACGGUUUCCACGGGAAAAUGUUCUCAAGGGUUUCCAGUAACAGGAUAAUUCGGUUUCUCGAUGAAUGACCUUCAGGGCUUGACACUAUAACGGUUCAAAAACGGAAGAACGGAUCCGACGGAAAAAAAAUUCGGACCGCCCCUUGAAAAGCAUUGGUCGAUCGGUGUGCUGUACUACAGUACAUCCGAGUGAUUUCAAAAAGCGAGCCCUAUAGGCACGCUUAAAAGGUUCGUGCGGUGAACGCUCUCCACGCGACGUCCGUACAUUGGAAGCAACUUCUUGCAAAAAUUUAAGUUCAUUAAAAAAUUGUGUACUUAGUUUCAGUCGGCGUCAGUGUCGUGGCGUGCUGUGCGAUUUAUCAAAUAAUCUGCCAUUUAAACCUAUGGAAAAGGAUCGAUAAACCGGAUGUCCGCAAUGAACACCAUAAUAAUCGAUCCUUUACCACAGCUUCAAAUGGGAAAACAUCGAUAAUCGAUCAUUCACGCCUCGCCAUUGGGUGCGGCGUGUACUCGUACAUUUCCCCUUUUAGAGAAAUAAUUCUGCAAUGAAAAACAAUAAUUGAAUUCGAGGUCAGUGCGUACC